AGAGAACCCUGGUUAAGGAACUCUGCAAAUUGACACCGUAACUUCGGGAGAAGGUGUGCCGCUGGCGGUUAGUGACUUCGCGUCACGAAGCUGUUGGUGGUCGCAGUGAAAUGGCGGUUGUGACUGUUUACUAAAAACACAGGACUCUGCGAAGUCGUAAGACGACGUAUAGGGUCUGAUGCCCGCCCGGUGCUGGAAGGUUAAGGGGAUGUGUCAGAGCAAUCGAAGCAUUGAACCGAAGCCCCAGUAAACGGCGGCCGUAACAAUAACGGUCCUAAGGUAGCGAAAUUCCUUGUCGGGUAAGUUCCGACCUGCACGAGGGCAUAACAACAUCCGCACUGUCUCGACCAGGGACUCAGCGAAAUUACAUUGGGGGUGAAGAUGCCCUCUACCCGCGGAAAGACGGAAAGACCCCAUGAACCUUUACUGCAACUUGGCAGUGAUUUUCGGGUUGUUCUGCGUAGGAUAGGUGGGAGGCUUUGAAGUCGGGCUUCCGGGUUCGACAGAGCCAACGUUGAAAUACCACCCUGAAUAAUCUGGAAAUCUAACCUGCGCCCAUGAUCUGGGCGAGGGACACUGCCUGGUGGGCAGUUUGACUGGGGCGGUCGCCUCCUAAAUUGUAACGGAGGCGUGCGACGGUUCCCUCAGGCUGAUUGGAAACCAGCCGUAGAGUGCAAACGCAUAAGGGAGCUUUACUGCGAGACUGACAAGUCGAACAGUUGCGAAAGCAGGUGUUAGUGAUCCGGUGGUACCACAUGGAAGGGCCAUCGCUCAUCGGAUAAAAGGUACUCUGGGGAUAACAGGCUGAUCGCGCCUGAGAGUUCACAUCGGCGGCGCGGUUUGGCACCUCGAUGUCGGCUCAUCGCAUCCUGGGGCUGGAGCAGGUCCCAAGGGUUUGGCUGUUCGCCAAUUAAAGCGGUACGCGAGCUGGGUUUAAAACGUCGUGAGACAGUUUGGUCCCUAUCUUCCGUGGGCGCAGGACACUUGAGAGGAGCUAUCCAUAGUACGAGAGGACCUGGAUGGACGAACCUCUGGUGCUCCGGUUGUCACGCCAGUGGCAUAGCCGGGUAGCCAUGUUCGGAACAGAUAACCGCAGAAGGCAUAUAAGCGGGAAGCUGGCCUCAAGACUAGGUGUCCCUGACGCAAGUCACUAAAGGCCCCUCGAAGACUACGAGGUUGAUAGGCUAGGUGUGGAAGCACAGCGAUGUGCGGAGCUAACUAGUACUAAUAGGCCGUGCGACUUGACCUC
rnacentral:rRNA from 1 species